UGCAGCUAAUUAUAAGCUUCACUCUCUCUUGUGCUGUGGACCCCCCAUGAGUUGUGUCCUUAAUAACAUCUGAAUUGAAUUUCUUCUCUUCUCUCUCCCUUCUUAGUUUCUCCCUGAAGAAGAAGUGUCAUCAAAAAUCCUGUCUGGCAGCUUGAACACAGCCUAAAAGCAAAUUAGCUGACUUAGCUGGUGUUUAUUACUGGAGCCAAGAGAGUCAAAGCAGCAAACAGAAACGAGCAGCGGUGAAAAUAAACGGAGAGAAGAAGAAGAAGAAG